rnacentral:rRNA from 1 species
UACGGAGGAUCCAAGCGUUAUCCGGAUUUAUUGGGUUUAAAGGGUGCGUAGGCGGCCUGUUAAGUCAGUGGUGAAAUCCAACAGCUCAACUGUUGAUGUGCCAAUGAUACUGACAGGCUUGAGUACAGACGAGGUAGGCGGAAUUGACAGUGUAGCGGUGAAAUGCGUAGAUAUUGUGAGGAAGACCGAUAGCGAAGGCAGCUUGCUAGCCUGUAACUGACGCUGAGGCACGAAAGUGUGGGGAGCAAACAGG